rnacentral:rRNA from 1 species
UGGCGAACGGGUGAGUAACACGUGGGCAAUCUGCCCUGCACUCUGGGACAAGCCCUGGAAACGGGGUCUAAUACCGGAUACGACCUUCCUCCGCAUGGGGGUUGGUGGAAAGCUCCGGCGGUGCAGGAUGAGCCCGCGGCCUAUCAGCUUGUUGGUGGGGUAAUGGCCUACCAAGGCGACGACGGGUAGCCGGCCUGAGAGGGCGACCGGCCACACUGGGACUGAGACACGGCCCAGACUCCUACGGGAGGCAGCAGUGGGGAAUAUUGCACAAUGGGCGAAAGCCUGAUGCAGCGACGCCGCGUGAGGGAUGACGGCCUUCGGGUUGUAAACCUCUUUCAGCAGGGAAGAAGCGCAAGUGACGGUACCUGCAGAAGAAGCACCGGCUAACUACGUGCCAGCAGCCGCGGUAAUACGUAGGGUGCGAGCGUUGUCCGGAAUUAUUGGGCGUAAAGAGCUCGUAGGCGGCCUGUCGCGUCGGAUGUGAAAGCCCGGGGCUUAACCCCGGGUCUGCAUUCGAUACGGGCAGGCUAGAGUGUGGUAGGGGAGAUCGGAAUUCCUGGUGUAGCGGUGAAAUGCGCAGAUAUCAGGAGGAACACCGGUGGCGAAGGCGGAUCUCUGGGCCAUUACUGACGCUGAGGAGCGAAAGCGUGGGGAGCGAACAGGAUUAGAUACCCUGGUAGUCCACGCCGUAAACGUUGGGAACUAGGUGUUGGCCACAUUCCACGUGGUCGGUGCCGCAGCUAACGCAUUAAGUUCCCCGCCUGGGGAGUACGGCCGCAAGGCUAAAACUCAAAGGAAUUGACGGGGGCCCGCACAAGCAGCGGAGCAUGUGGCUUAAUUCGACGCAACGCGAAGAACCUUACCAAGGCUUGACAUAUGCCGGAAACAUCCAGAGAUGGGUGCCCCCUUGUGGUCGGUAUACAGGUGGUGCAUGGUUGUCGUCAGCUCGUGUCGUGAGAUGUUGGGUUAAGUCCCGCAACGAGCGCAACCCUUGUUCUGUGUUGCCAGCAUGCCUUUCGGGGUGAUGGGGACUCACAGGAGACUGCCGGGGUCAACUCGGAGGAAGGUGGGGACGACGUCAAAUCAUCAUGCCCCUUAUGUCUUGGGCUGCACACGUGCUACAAUGGUCGGUACAAAGGGCUGCGAUGCCGUGAGGCGGAGCGAAUCCCAAAAAGCCGGCCUCAGUUCGGAUUGGGGUCUGCAACUCGACCCCAUGAAGUUGGAGUUGCUAGUAAUCGCA